ensembl:lncRNA
CCAUGAGGAGGUAAACAACGGCCACUCCCCCCUCCACGACCUGUUCUCCCUAUGGAGCCGCAUGCACCCGGCCACAUGUACCGGGCACUGGUGGUGGAGGAACACACACGCACCGGGUGCUGGUGGAGAGUCACACCACCGGGACUGACGACCCGUUUCAGAAGUGCGUGCAUGCUACUCCCCCUGCUAACUAGCAUGCGGGCUAACAGCAACUGUACUUGUCUGAAAAACACAAACCCUCGCCCUUACCUUCAUGUAUGUGUGACCCCGUUCAGUCGGCGCGGAGCGGGGAAGCGUCCUCGGCUGUGGACGGCGGGCGGGUCCGGGGGGUUUAGGAGCUCAUUUGAAGCCGGCCACAUGUAGUUUAGAGCAGGACCCUGACAUGCACGGUGCCCGCCUGCUAGCGCUGCUAGGCGGUGGAAGCCCUCCUGACUCCCCGGCGGUGACAGGACCGUCCCUCUGUCCGCCGUGACAGCACGUCACAUCGAUCUGCGGAGACGUGGAGAGUCCUGAUCCAGAGGUUAGGGAAAAGUAGAGACGGCCAGAAGGUAUUUUCUCUGGUCUGGUCUCUGCGCCCCGACUGGUUUCCUCCCAGUGCCGAUGAAGGGUGAAGAAGAAGAGAUGCUUUCAGGGAGAUGACUCAGAAAAAGAUUGCGAGCCAGUUUCGCAACGGUCCUCCGAAAAAACACAGCGCCUUGUUUUAGUUGCUGGGUCUGUCGCUCCUGAGCCCGACCUGAACACCGCUAUCUGCACGAACACCCCCAGACCAGUCCCGCUUCCUCACUCGAUCUACCGGUCCUGCUUCCUCACUACAUCUACCAGUCCUGCUUCCUCACUAGAUCUAUCAUCAGCCUGUGAACUCUUUUGGCGCCAUAUUUAUGGCGUACUUUUAAUUCCCAGCGCUGAGUGUGUGAGCGCUUCCUACUUCACGAAGACAGGGGAACGACGCCUCGAACAGGACGACAAGGGGAUAAUAUCAUAAUGUAUUGCAGCGAAAAAAGUUAAACACGUACAGCUUCUUCAUUUUUUAAAGAUGGAAGAAAACGUAACAGAAACAUCUCAGUCAUGUACUUUAUCUGAUGGGAUUGUUUGUUAGGUUCAAAGUAUUUUUUUAUUAUUAUUAUUUAUUCAUACGCGGACUAUACGUAAGAAUACAGAGAUCGUUGUAGCCUAGUACGACCAUGAUAACAUAACAAAACGGUUGGUCAUUAAAAAUGAAAUAUAAACAUCUUUCCAUCUUCUUUCUACUUGACCGUUUUCGU